rnacentral:rRNA from 1 species
CCUACGGGAGGCAGCAGUGGGGAAUAUUGGGCAAUGGGCGCAAGCCUGACCCAGCAACGCCGCGUGAAGGAAGAAGGCUCUCGGGUUGUAAACUUCUUUUCUCAGGGACGAAGCAAGUGACGGUACCUGAGGAAUAAGCCACGGCUAACUACGUGCCAGCAGCCGCGGUAAUACGUAGGUGGCAAGCGUUAUCCGGAUUUACUGGGUGUAAAGGGCGUGUAGGCGGGGACGCAAGUCAGAUGUGAAAACCACGGGCUCAACCUGUGGCCUGCAUUUGAAACGGGGUUUCUUGAGUACUUGAGAGGGAGGCGGAAGUCGUGGUGUAGCGGUGAAAUGCGUAGAUAUUAGGAAGAACACCGGUGGCGAAGGCAGUCUGCUGGACAGCAACUGACGCUGAGGCGCGAAAGCGUGGGGAGCAAACAGGAUUAGAUACCCUUGUAGUC